AGCUCCUGCCUGCUUAGAAAUAACACAAGUUAAAUCUAUAGCCACACAAACUGAUCCCAUAAAUGUAGAUAGUAUUCCAGCAGCCACUCAAACAACAUUUGAAACCAUAACCAACCAAGCAUCAAAUAAUAUGAUCCCUCCAACUAACCA